rnacentral:rRNA from 1 species
GACGAACGCUGGCGGCGUGCUUAACACAUGCAAGUCGAACGGAAAGGCCCUGCUUUUGUGGGGUGCUCGAGUGGCGAACGGGUGAGUAACACGUGAGUAACCUGCCCUUGACUUUGGGAUAACUGCAGGAAACUGGGGCUAAUACCGGAUAGGAGCUCCUGCUGCAUGGGGGGGGUUGGAAAGUUUCGGCGGUUGGGGCUGGACGCGCGGCUUAUCAGCUUGUUGGUGGGGUAGUGGCUUACCAAGGCUUUGACGGGUAGCCGGCCUGAGAGGGUGACCGGCCACAUUGGGACUGAGAUACGGCCCAGACUCCUACGGGAGGCAGCAGUGGGGAAUAUUGCACAAUGGGCGGAAGCCUGAUGCAGCAACGCCGCGUGCGGGAUGACGGCCUUCGGGUUGUAAACCGCUUUCGCCUGUGACGAAGCGUGAGUGACGGUAAUGGGUAAAGAAGCACCGGCUAACUACGUG